GUGCCAGCAGCCGCGGUAAUACGGAGGGUGCAAGCGUUAAUCGGAAUUACUGGGCGUAAAGCGCACGCAGGCGGUUUGUUAAGUCAGAUGUGAAAUCCCCGGGCUCAACCUGGGAACUGCAUCUGAUACUGGCAAGCUUGAGUCUCGUAGAGGGGGGUAGAAUUCCAGGUGUAGCGGUGAAAUGCGUAAAGAUCUGGAGGAAUACCGGUGGCGAAGGCGGCCCCCUGGGAGAAGGAUGGCGGUUCGGUGGGAAAGCGGGGGGAGCAAACCGGGAUUAGAUACCCUUGUAGUUC
rnacentral:rRNA from 1 species